UGGCACGGGCGGCGUGCUAUACAUGCAGUCGAGCGCGGGAAGCGAACGGAACUCUUCGGAGGGAAGUUCGUGGAACGAGCGGCGGACGGGUGAGUAACACGUAGGCAACCUGCCUGUAAGACUGGGAUAACUCGCGGAAACGCGAGCUAAUACCGGAUAACACUUUCUAUCACCUGAUGGAAAGUUGAAAGGCGGCUUUUGCUGUCACUUACAGAUGGGCCUGCGGCGCAUUAGCUAGUUGGUGAGGUAACGGCUCACCAAGGCGACGAUGCGUAGCCGACUGGGGAUAUCGGCCCACUCGGACUGAGACACGGCCCAGAAUCCUACGGGAGCCAGCAGUAGGGAAUCUUCCGCAAUGGACAAAAAUCUGACGAGCAACGCCGCGGGAGUGAUGAAGGUUUUCGGAUCGUAAAACUCUGCUGUCAGGGAAGAACAAGUACGAUAGUAACUGAUCCUACCUUGACGGUACCUGACCAGAAAGCCACGGCUAAUACGUGCCAGCAGCCGCGGUAAUACGUAGAUGGCAAGCGUGUCCGGAAAUAUUGGGCGUAAAGCGCUCGCAGGCGGUUCUUUAAGUCUGAUGUGAAAUCUUGCGGCUCAACCGCAAACGUGCAUUGGAAACUGGAGGACUUGAGUGCAGAAGAGGAGAGUGGAAUUCCACGUGUAGCGGUGAAAUGCGUAGAGAUGUGGAGGAACACCAGUGGCGAAGGCGACUCUCUGGUCUGUAACUGACGCUGAGGAGAGAAAGCGUGGGGAGCGAACACGAUUAGAUACCCUGGUAGUCCACGCCGUAAACGAUGAGUGCUAGGUGUUAGGGGGUUUCCGCCCCUUAGUGCUGAAGUUAACGCAUUAAGCACUCCGCCUGGGGAGUACGGCCGCAAGGCUGAAACUCAAAAGAAUUGACGGGGACCCGCACAAGCGGUGGAGCAUGUGGUUUAAUUUGAAGCAACGCGAAGAACCUUACCAGGUCUUGACAUCCUUUGACCCCUCUAGAGAUAGAGUUUCCCUUCGGGACAAGUGACAGGUGGUGCAUGGUUGUCGUCAGCCCGUGUCGUGAAAUGUUGGAUAGUCCCGCAACGAGCGCAACCCUUUAUUAGUGGCCAGCAUUCAGUGGCACUCUAAGUGACUGCCGGUGACAACCGAGAAGUGGAAUGACGUCAAAUCACAUACCCCUUAUGCCUCGCGGACACACGUGCUACAAUGGACGGAACAAAGGGAAGCGAACCCGCGAGGUCCAGCAAAUCCCAUAAAACCGUUCUCAGUUCGGAUUGCAGGCUGCAACUCGCCUGCAUGAAGCCGGAAUCGCUAGUAAUCGCGGAUCAGCAUGCCGCGGUGAAUACGUUCCCGGGUCUUGUACACACCGCCCGUCACACCACGAGAGUUCGUAACACCCGAAGUCGGUGAGGUAACACAGACGUGAGCCAGCCGCCGAAGGUGACGAGAUGUG
rnacentral:rRNA from 1 species